rnacentral:misc_RNA from 1 species
GCAACUUCAUCCAUCUCUGAAACAUCAACAAGAAUAACUAGCUAAAAAACUCUUGAUGUCUUAUAAGUUUUUCAGAACAACAAACAGCCCACUUUCAUAGCUGCCUCCUAUUUGCAUAAACAGUGAUGAUUUAUGCACUUCAUUUCAAAAUAACACAUAAGAAAUAAUAAACGAAUCAGUGCAAAAGUAUGUCGAUGUCUAAGACACCAACAGCAUUAAAGAAAAGUUAGGAAACUUACUUUCCUGAACUGCUUACAGAAAGA